rnacentral:misc_RNA from 1 species
GUUUGGUUCUCUUUUGCAGGACAUGGUAUGUUUGAAUAGCAUCUUCGAUUCUUUGAGAGAAAAUUGAUAGUGGUGAAAGUUUGUAUUCUUUUUAGAUAAUUUUUUUAUUCCUUAUAAUUCUUUAACUUUUUGGAAAUUGUAAAUAAAUAAUUUGGUGCCAAUUUAUUUAGUUCUCUUUGAAAAUGAUAGUGAUAAAUUAAUACUUUAAUUUAUUAUCUUCGAAAAUUGUUGUGAUCUUUUAAUU